GACGAACGCUGGCGGCGUGCUUAACACAUGCAAGUCGAACGGUGAAGCGCCUUCCUUUUUGGUGGGUGUGGAUGAGUGGCGAACGGGUGAGUAACACGUGAGUAACCUGCCCCCUUCUUCUGGAUAACCGCAUGAAAGUGUGGCUAAUACGGGAUAUUCUGUGUCUGUCGCAUGAUGGGUCUGGGAAAGAUAUUGUUUCGGUGGGGGAUGGGCUCGCGGCCUAUCAGCUUGUUGGUGGGGUGAUGGCCUACCAAGGCGGUGACGGGUAGCCGGCCUGAGAGGGUGGACGGUCACACUGGGACGGAGACACGGCCCAGACUGCUACGGGAGGCAGCAGUGGGGAAUAUUGCACAAUGGGCGCAAGCCUGAUGCAGCGACGCCGCGUGGGGGAUGGAGGCCUGCGGGUUGUGAACCUCUUUCGCCAGUGAAGCAGGCCUGCCUCGUUUGUGGGUGGGUUGACGGUAGCUGGAUAAGAAGCGCCGGCUAACUACGUG
rnacentral:rRNA from 1 species